GCGGCGUGCUUAACACAUGCAAGUCGAACGUGAUUUUUGUGGAAAUUCUUUCGGGAAUGGAAAUGAAAUGAAAGUGGCGAACGGGUGAGUAACACGUGAGCAACCUACCUUACACAGGGGGAUAGCCGUUGGAAACGACGAUUAAUACCGCAUGAGACCACAGAAUCGCAUGAUAUAGGGGUCAAAGAUUUAUCGGUGUAAGAAGGGCUCGCGUCUGAUUAGCUAGUUGGAAGGGUAAAGGCCUACCAAGGCGACGAUCAGUAGCCGGUCUGAGAGGAUGAACGGCCACAUUGGAACUGAGACACGGUCCAAACUCCUACGGGAGGCAGCAGUGGGGAAUAUUGCACAAAUGGGGGGA
rnacentral:rRNA from 1 species